rnacentral:rRNA from 1 species
UACAGAGGGGGCAAGCGUUGUCCGGAAUUACUGGGCGUAAAGCGUGCGCAGGCGGUUUUUUAAGCCAGACGUGAAAGCCCCGGGCUUAACCUGGGAAUGGCGUUUGGGACUGGAAGGCUGGAGUACGGCAGAGGGAGGUGGAAUUCCACGUGUAGCAGUGAAAUGCGUAGAGAUGUGGAGGAACACCGAUGGCGAAGGCAGCCUCCUGGGCCAGUACUGACGCUCAUGCACGAAAGCGUGGGGAGCAAACAGG